UACGGAGGGUGCAAGCGUUAUCCGGAUUCACUGGGUUUAGAGGGUGCGUAGGAGGGCAGGUAAGUCAGUGGUGAAAUCUCCAAGCUUAACUUGGAAACUGCCGUUGAUACUAUCUGUCUUGAAUAUUGUGGAGGUGAGCGGAAUAUGUCAUGUAGCGGUGAAAUGCUUAGAUAUGACAUAGAACACCAAUUGCGAAGGCAGCUCACUACUCAAUCAUUGACUCUGAGGCACGAAAGCGUGGGGAUCAAACAGG
rnacentral:rRNA from 1 species